AUUGAACGCUGGCGGCAGGCUUAACACAUGCAAGUCGAGCGGGGUGAUGGUGCUUGCACUAUCACUUAGCGGCGGACGGGUGAGUAAUGCUUAGGAAUCUGCCUAUUAGUGGGGGACAACAUCUCGAAAGGGAUGCUAAUACCGCAUACGUCCUACGGGAGAAAGCAGGGGAUCACUUGUGACCUUGCGCUAAUAGAUGGGCCUAAGUCGGAUUAGCUAGUUGGUGGGGUAAAGGCCUACCACGGCGACGAUCUGUAGCGGGUCUGAGGGGAUGAUCCGCCACACUGGGACGGAGACACGGCCCAGACUCCUACGGGAGGCAGCAUUGGGGAAUAUUGGACAAUGGGGGAACCCUGAUCCAGCCAUGCCGCGUGUGUGAAGAAGGCCUUAUGGUUGUAAAGCACUUUAAGCGAGGAGGAGGCUCUUUUGGUUAAUACCCAAGAUGAGUGGACGUUACUCGCAGAAUAAGCACCGGCUAACUCUGUGCCAGCCGCCGCCGUAA
rnacentral:rRNA from 1 species